GACCGAGUCUUACGUCAACAGACCAGUUUAGAAUGUGCCGGGCCAUUGUUAUGCAUGCCAUAACAAAAAAGGGAGGAAUACUGAGGCAGCUACGACGUGGAUGUCUACAAUUUCUUUAAGGUAAUGAAAACAAUUUUAAUCUUAAUUUUUCUCUUCUUUUUUUGGUUAAUUAACUUUGCUGUUUUUGUUUCUUUCCAGAUGCAGGCCCCAAAGACGUCCCAGUGUGAUGCAAAGGCUGUCCAGCAGGCUCACAUACAUCUCCUGAGAGAUGAGAGAAGCCUUUAAAAUAGUUGUCCAUUUUGACCAUGAUUGCAUUGACAACAUGCCCAGGCACACUGUCUGCUUCCCAUUUCUUAGUGCCUGUACGAAAACAGUGACUUUUCCACCUCAAGUCUUUUAAGGAGUUUUAAAAACAGUUAUUUUAAUUUCUCUGAAUUGUGGUUCAGAAUUUCACAGAAUCUAAUGCACUUGACUCUGUGUUUCAAAGAUCUUUGCAAAACCAUCAGUCUUUUGUACAAAACACAUUCAAUGGUCAAACAUUAAAAAAUGAAGCUUUACAAAA